CCUACGGGUGGCAGCAGUGAGGAAUAUUGGUCAAUGGGCGGGAGCCUGAACCAGCCAAGUCGCGUGAGGGAAGACGGUCCUAUGGAUUGUAAACCUCUUUAGGCGGGGAGCAAUGCCGGGCACGUGUGCCCGGAGGGAGAGUACCCGCAGAAUAAGCAUGGGCUAACUCCGUGCCAGCAGCCGCGGUAAUACGGAGGAUGAGCGCGUUAUCCGGAUUGAUUGGGUUUAAGGGGUGCGUAGGCGGAUUUUUAAGUCAGGUUUAAAAUGUCCGGGCUCAACCCGGGCCGGCCGUUGAAACUGGUGAUCUUGAGUGGGCGUGAAGUAUGCGGAAUGCGUGGUGUAGCGGUGAAAUGCUUAGAUAUCACUCAGAACUCCGAUUGCGAAGGCAGCAUACCGGCGCCCGACUGACGCUGAGGCACGAAAGCGUGGGGAUCGAACAGGAUUAGAUACCCCAGUAGUC
rnacentral:rRNA from 1 species